rfam:Gossypium raimondii Chr01_contig_23, whole genome shotgun sequence.
UAUUAAAAAUUUCAUCCAUUUAUACUGUUAAAAAUUAGUAUGAUUAUGGAAUAACCAAACAAUGACAUGUAGCGUGUCAUGUGUACAUCAUGCUGACAUAUAUGAACCGAUUUUUAACCAUACAAAUGGAUGGAAUUUUUAACU